CUCCAGGGAUGGGAAUCGAACCCACGGUUACCGGUUAGAUGCCAUGUCCACUAGGCUACCCUGGA